rnacentral:tRNA from 1 species
CAAACUAUAGCUUAUUUUUUAAAGCUUUUUAUUUACAUUAAUAAGAAAACAUUAUUUUGUUUAGUUUGA